UACGGUGCUGCUUUUAUAGAAGGUGUUCCUAGUUUCCUACGGAUUAAUUCAGGAAAUUAGCCUUUUGAUCGGUAUGCCUAUAUUCUUCUUGUUGUCCUAAACAAUAUGGUUCAGUACUCAGUGGUUUUGUUAAUGAUUUAGGUUUAAUGGUUCUUGAGCUGGAUUGAUGACCAGGCGGAUCUGUUUGCAACUCAUAUAGAAAC
rnacentral:lncRNA from 1 species